rnacentral:rRNA from 1 species
AAUGAACGCUGGCGGCGUGCUUAACACAUGCAAGUCGCACGAGAACGCUUUAGCUUGCUAGAGCUAGUAAAGUGGCGCACGGGUGAGUAACGCGUGGGUAAUCUACCCCUGAAUUUGGGAUAACGUUGCGAAAGCGACGCUAAUACCGGAUGAUAUCUAAGCAACCUCGGUUGUAUAGAUCAAAGGUGGCCUCUACAUGUAAGCUACUGUUUGGGGAUGAGCCCGCGUACCAUUAGCUAGUUGGUAGGGUAAUGGCCUACCAAGGCUUCGAUGGUUAGCUGGUCUGAGAGGAUGAUCAGCCACACUGGAACUGACACACGGUCCAGACUCCUACGGGAGGCAGCAGUGAGGAAUUUUGCGCAAUGGGGGAAACCCUGACGCAGCAACGCCGCGUGAGUGAUGAAGGCCUUCGGGUGGUAAAACUCUGU